GAGAGAGAGAGAGAGAGAGAGAGAGAGAGAGAGAGAGAGGAAAGCCUUGCACUCCUAUUUACAGUUUUUUUGACCCGGUGCUUGAUUGCACUAAAUGUAUAGAAGACAAAAAUCAGCACUCUCUCUCUCUCUCUCUCUCUCUCUCUCUAUAUAUAUAUAUAU
rnacentral:miRNA from 1 species